CCUACGGGAGGCAGCAGUGGGGAAUAUUGCACAAUGGGCGUAACCCUGAUGCAGCGACGCAGCGUGAGGGAAGACGUAUCUCGGUAUGUAAAGCUCUAUCAGUAGGGAAGUAAAUGACGGUACCUGACUAAGAAGCUACGGCUAACUACGUGCCAGCAGCCGCGGUAAUACGCCGGGGGCAAGCGUUAUCCGGAUUUACUGGGUGUAAUGGGAGCGUAGUCGGCAGAACAGGUCUGUAGUGAAAUCCCGGGGCUUAACCCCGGAACUGCUUUGGAAACUGUGCGGCUGGAGUGCAGGAGGGGUAAGCGGAAUUCGUAGUGUAGCGGUGAAAUGCGUAGAUAUUAGGAGGAACACCGGUGGCGAAGGCGGCUUACGGGACUGUAACUGACGUUGAGGCUCGAAGGCGUGGGGAGCAAACAGGAUUAGAUACCCCAGUAGUC
rnacentral:rRNA from 1 species